UCCGCUUCCCCACCGCCCGCCCGGCUCAUCGACGGCGCCCCUGCGUUUACUGUCAGUCGGGUUCUGGACAUUCGCCGCCGGGGCCGCGGUCACCAGUACCUGGUGGACUGGGAGGGUUACGGCCCGGAGGAGCGCUCUUGGAUCUCCCGCUCCAUGAUUCUGGACCGUUCCCUCCUGGACGAUUUCUUCAGGGCUCACCCAGAUCGCCGUCCUGGACCGCCUGGAGGCGGUCGUUGAGGGGGGGGUACUGUCACGGUGUGUCAGUUCACCUCCCCCUCACACAGCUCUCCUGCUCUACUGAUUGGAACCAGCUGACCUUCAUCUCCUCAUCACCCUGCCAGCCUUCAUAAGGGAGAUCCUCACAAGUAUCCAGCGCCAGUCCGUUAUACUCUCUCCGGUCAGCUCUCCACUGGUCACGCUGGUUCCUCGCCUCGUUCCUGUCACGCCGUCCUCGGCUCCACCUCUCGCUCCAAGCUGUGCUCGCCGUCCUCGGCGCUCCACCUCGUCACAGGCUGUCUACGCUGUCCUCGGCUCCACCACUCCCCCAAGCUGUGCUCGCCGUCCUCGGCGCUCCUCUUCAUCCACGACUCUCAUCUCCCCUCUCAGAUUAAAACUUCUGACUCUG